UACGUAGGGUCCGAGCGUUGUCCGGAUUUAUUGGGCGUAAAGAGCUCGUAGGCGGCUCAGUAAGUCAGAUGUGAAAACUCAGGGCUCAACCCGGAGACGCCAUCUGAUACUGCUGUGGCUUGAGUCUGGUAGGGGAUCACGGAAUUCCUGGUGUAGCGGUGAAAUGCGCAGAUAUCGGGAGGAACACCGAUGGCGAAGGCAGUGAUCUGGGCCAGUACUGACGCUGAGGAGCGAAAGCGUGGGUAGCAAACAGG
rnacentral:rRNA from 1 species